CUUUGCAGAUGUGUCUGGAGGGAAAAAUAUGUAGGCUGUGUGAUUAUUUGCUUAUUUUCUCCUCCCUUAGGUUGGAUACUGAAGGUGGCGCUUGGACACUGUUGCAGGCGCCUGGAUGCGUCGGUGCGCCUGCCUGACUGCCUGCCUGCUGUAGACGGAUGCAUUUUAGCAGCCGCACAGACGCUGCCCCACAAAGCAGCGGGAAUCUGCAAUGGCUUGAAGGAGAUGACAUCAUCCUGGAGCAACUCUGGCUUACACGACAGAUGUAGAUAACGCUGCAGACACACCUCACUUCCUGAGAGGAGAGUUAUAGCUUCCUGGGAGAGGCACUGCCGUCCCCUGGAGCCCCGAGGAGUUCGACAGCUACCUAUGGAGAGGGCACGUCUCUGACUUGUAGACCUGCUCUGAGCCUUCUCCUCUCACUUUGAGAUCCUCCGUGUACCUGUCAAAGGGUCAAAAGGCCUUCAAGAGGAGGAAUGAAGCUCUGUGAAGCUUCAUGUAUGCUGAUUCAAGGGAUUCCCCUCCAUGUGUUUUAUCCAGUCCUGCUGUUUUAUUUGGCUGAUGGGGAACAGGAUGUGAGAUUUACACCAGCGGGGAAAAAACGGGGGCAAGUUGAGACACAAAGAUGGACAUGGCGGUUAACUCCCUGAUUGUGUCACCAGAGAAGAGAGAUAAAUGGUGAAAGGAAAACAAGCAAGGGGAAGCUGACUAUUUUUCUAAAAGCUGCACGGAAGUUUCUAAUUAUAUCCACUCGGAGACCUGUAACCUCCACUGAGACACUCAGCCACACACUGACACACAUUCACCACCAUAUACACACACACACACACCGUUGCAGAGACCUAACCUUUGCUGGCCUUGCAGUCCCCUCCGAGCAAGAACCAAAUUAGAUGGCGAGAGGAAAAUAAUGUCCCCCGUCUUUGCUGCUGUUAAAGGCCAGUAAUCUCUCAUUUACACUGACAUUAAGGAGAGGCAAGUUUCACACUAACAUACUCCUGUCAUUAAAAUAGUGAGGGAGAAGAGAAGAGAAGAGGGGAGAAGAGAGGAGAGGAGAAGAGAAGAAAAGAGAAGAGACGAGAAGUAAAGAACUGCCUGGAGACAUGGAGGAGCUAGUUUUAUGAAGCCCGUCCCUGCACUGCUCCAAAUGAGCCACGGUGAAUUCUUCACCGCCAGUCAAUCCCUGGGGAGGCAGUCAAGAAAACCCUAUUAUAUUUGGGGGCAGGCACCGCUCAAACUGACAGCAACUGCUGCGACAGCAAAGCUCGCAGAAAGAGAGAGAGAGAGAGGUAUGUUCACCAUCUCUACGUGACAACAGAGUAAAUUGCACACAAGUUGGUCUCAUUUGCUUUGGAUUGUGGAGCGGCACAAAGAAACAAUGGACUUUGCAGUUAAAAUUGAACGAACCUUCUGAAUUAUGCUAACAUCUCCAAUUCAGAAUGGCUCCAUCUUCACGCUUGUCUUGUAAAAUGCUGCUUUGUUGGUUUCACGCAAGCCCAAAUAAACCUAUAAAGCGCUGUUCUUAAAAACA